AUUACUUCUUGGCCUUUUGGCUAAGAUCAAGUGUAUUAUCUGUUCUUAUCAGUUUAAAUUAAUUUUUAUUUAAAUUAAAAACAAUCUUAUUUUCCAUACCAAUCAAAGUCCCUUCUCCCUCCAGGAUUUCCUGUCCCCCCACCAAACACCAUUCCAUCCCCUGCCCACUCCACAGAGAAGGUGAGGCCUCCU